ensembl:lncRNA
AUCAAGCUGAAGACAAGAGGAUAUGAACUAUGAUAUGAGGGUGGAAGCUGAAUUAGUGAGGAUGACUCCUGCUCCUGUCAUCUCUAAGCUCCUCACACAUCUUUACCUGCACAUGAGGAAAAUCACUCCUGUAGAAUGCAGGUAUGUUUGUCAUUAUUAUAAAAAGAUGUUGCCUGGUGACCUGUCAGAAACCCAUUAUACAGAGUCAGCCAAAAUAAUGUUUACACACAUCAGGAAAAGAAAAACUUGCAUAAAUAUUUCAAUACCAAAUGUAUUCA